GGGUGGGGGAGAAAUUAACAUUGCCAGAGGAGAGCACCAUCCUAGUCUGAUGCACAGGUGGUCCUGCCUCUAACCUUCCAUCCUAAUACCGCUGUGAUCCGGGUGGAGUCCCUCUGAGUCUCAGAUACCUUGCUCAGAAGGUUGCUGAGAAUGGUUAGCAGUCCUGCUCCGCCUGCCUCGCCGUGUUUUAUUAAAUGAGGCACACUAUCCAAGUGUUAGGUUACUAUAAUUAAAUCGUGCACCUGGCCCCCAGCUCCCCAAGACAACCAGGCUUACGUGAAUAUAAAUUAGCACUUUGAGGAACACCUUGGUGAUGUGUAAUCUGGAACUGCUCUCGGCCCGUGACACAGCAACUUUACUCCUGGGCUGACGUCCUGGAGAAGCAGCACAAGGAGGCAGGCUUAUUGGUGAUCAUAAAAACCUGGAAUCCACCCAAUACCCAUCAGGAGAGAGGACCGAUAGUGAGAUAGUCCUACAGUGCCAUGCGGGACAGCGGUGAGCACAGAUGAGCCUCGUAAGCAGUGUUGACACAUAAAGCAAGCAGCGAAAGUCCUGACGUAUGUACCCAGUUACACAGGUCCGAAAACAGGAACGUGGAGGUGAUGGUUGGCCAACACUGCGAAUGCACUAAAUGCCACUGCAUUUACACUUGAAAGGUGGUAGGUUUUAUGUUAUGAGAUUCACCUCAGAAAAAAUGUUUUAACUUGCAAAAGAUAUUAUACCUUGGUUCAGAAUAUAGGAAGGGUGUAUGAUUAUAUAUAAUGAAUGGGUGAUAGACACUAAACUCAGCAUAACAGUAACCUCUCAUGGGAUAGGGAAGGUUCUAUGAUCAGAGAAAGGAGCUUCGUUUACUGAUGUGGUUUUAUAUCUUAAAGUGGGAAGUGAGGACACAGAUAUUUCUUACAUGAUUCAUUAUGCUUUUAUUUUCUAAAGUAGUUCAAGGUAAUUUUUUUACAAAGAAAGGCAAGCUCACAUUUAGACUUCCCCUGUCUGUCUUACAGAGAGAUGUUCAAGGGAUGGGCAGCGCAGGGUUGCCAUGGUGAUGAGCUUGCUGGGUCUCAGGGAGCCUUCACUGCAUCCCUUCCUGAGCUAGCAGGCAUUCCAGAAUGAUCUUCCCAAACGGCUCCUGGAACAUUUCACCAGGAGAUGAGGGACUCGCUCAGAUCACUUCUACAAGUGGAGUUGUCAUAUCAGGGAAGGCACACAUCGUCAAGGGCUUGAAAUAUAAUGCCCAGUUACCUCCCAGAAAGGUCUCUCUCUCUCCAACAAAGUGGUUGUGUGCCUCUCUUCCUACAUGAACCCUCUGAGAAGACAAGAUUCAGCAAAGUAGCCCUGCUUGCCUGUCUCUGAUCAUGGAGCCCAGUGCUUUGGGUGAGAUGUGGCUGGAACUAGGAGGAGAAUGGCCAUCCAUGGAGAAGACCGGACCAGAUUCUGCCUAAGUGCCAAACCUUCUUUGGUACCAGCCCAACCCAGCUCUGUCUCUGGAAGGAGCAUUUGAACAAGGCAGGCACGAUGGUUAAUUUUAUAUGUCACCUUGACCGGGCUAAGGGAUGCCAAGAUUGCUGGUAGAACGUGUCUGUAAGGGUUUUUCUGGAAGAGGUUAACAUUUGAAUAGGUAGACUGAGUAAAGAUCCUUGUCACCAGUGUGGGUGGACAUCAUCCAAUCCAUUGAGGGCCUGGAUAGAACAAAAGGUGGGGGAAGGGAACUUCGCUCUAUCCUUGAGCUCAGACAGACAUCCUUCUCCCACCCAUCAGUGCUCCUGGCUCUGGGAGCAUCCGGACUUGGACUGGACAUACACCGUCAGCUUCCACACGGGGUCUGCCGCCCACAGCCGGCUGACCGUGGGACUUGGCAGCCUCUCUGUCUCCUACUUCUACUGCUUCUCUGCAGAACCCGCCGAAGGCAGCAGGACUAUGUCCCAGGACCUGAUUCAUCACAAACCUAGUUUUGUGGCAUGUUCAUCUGAAUAGGUGGGUCUCAGGCUGCUGGACCCUGGAGGGGAGCCCUUCUCCACACUGGCUUUGCUGCCCACACAGGCCCCCUGAGCUCUUACUCAUCCUACAAGCUCCUGUUUGAACGCUGCCUCCUCCAGGAAGCCCCUGCCACUGCAGGCAGGCCAGGAGGGUGGAGCCCAAUUCCACUUCAUCUGGGUCUGUCACCGUGUCUCCAGGUCUUAGCCUGGCAUUGGAGGGAUGCCUCUCAGUAAGCAUCACUUCGUCCAACGCAGAAGGUACUGAAGCCGCCUUGUCUAGGGCAUGAUGGUCUGCCUCUGUACGCAGUUGCCUGAUGACCUGAACAUUAACCCCUCUCCUAACCAGGUGCUUCCCACGCAGAGCAUACCGAAGGUUCUGUGAAUGGGGGAGAGACAAGGAAGUGCCCUGCCCUAGCCCCUAGGACCCACCCUCGAUGAGACUGUGGAAUUACCCUCAAGGAUACUGGAACCUGGACUUGUUGUGAGGUCAGAAGAUAAGUCUGAAGUGAUGCCAAAACUGAACCCCAAGGUCUCGCCUGGUGGGUCAGUGGGUUCCCCAUCCACUUCACCAAGCUGAGCAUCUCUUUCUGUGCCAGUCUGACUUGCCAUCCCUGGGAGAGGCAGUCAUUCACACUUUAGAGUAAGACAGGACCUCUAGUCUGGGUCCUCCCCCACCCGUCAAUGAGGGGUUACUACAGAGUAGUAGAGCUCAACUCUUAAGUUGAAAACCAAGCUUGGAGUGGUAGUUCCUGUUCUCAUCCACUCCAGAGCUUGCAGGGUCCCACUGGCCACCCCCAACCCUAAAAUCUCCUUCUAGGUCUCCUUCAAAGAAGCUCAGAUCUUGCUCUCCGUAGGGAGCUGCUUAACCUAAAUGCCUGGCUCAUGUGUGCGGCAGUGAUGGUCUCUGCUGUUUACAAAGCACGGGUUCUGUGCCAGGUCCAGGGCCCCGAACCUUCCCUGAGUCAUUCAAUUGAAUCCUUUCAAUCACCCAGGAAGUAUUAUCCUCCCAUUUCACAGAUGAGGAAACAAAGCCCCAGACAGAUUAACUUGUGCACAUGCACAAGAUGAUCCAGGUGCAAGAAGCAGAGAAGGACUCAGACCAGGUAAUCUGACUCUGGAGCCAAGAGCUGCCUGGGGUUGGCCCGUGGAAGCAUUUGGUUUGGCUCACUCAGUCAACGUUUCAAAAGCCAACGAUUUUAUAAAAACGAUCUGAAUUUCUAGAUUCUCUUGAAAAAAUCUGAUGUACCACCUGAAAGGACUGUCUACUGCCAAAGCAAGAUCAAUACACGCAAGAAAGUGAAGAAGUAUUAGAUUAUAAUCCAAGGCAUAAAAUGAGUAUCCAUAAGUUCAUACCGAUAUAAAUAAAUGAAGAAGAGAGAAA